rnacentral:rRNA from 1 species
CCUACGGGUGGCAGCAGUGGGGAAUAUUGCACAAUAGGGGGAACCCUGAUGCAGCGACGCCGCGUGGGGGAAGAAGCUCCUCGGCGCGUAAAGCCCUGUCAGCAGGGAGGAAAAUUACGUUACCUGAAGAAUACUCCCCGGCUAACUCCGUGCCAGCAGCCGCGGUCAUACGGAGGAUGCGGGCGUUAUCCGGAUUGAUUGGGUUUAACGGGUGCGUAGGCGGAAUGCCAAGUCAGCGGUAAAAUCGCGGGGCUAAACCUCGCUCCGCCGUUGAAACUGGCGUGCGUGAGUGGGCGAGAAGUAUGCGGAAUGCGUGGUGUAGCGGUGAAAUGCAUAGAUAUCACGAAGAACUCCGAUUGCGAAGGCAGCAUACCGGAGCCCAACUGACGCUGAAGCACGAAAGCGUGGGUAUCGAACAGGAUUAGAUACCCUUGUAGUC